ensembl:lncRNA
GUCAAAAUGUAGACAAGUGCAGUGUGCACAACAAAGUGCGAAUGAGGGCUGCUUUCUCAGGCAUUUCACAGCUGGCAGUAGGAGGGCAAAGCAUGGUGCUGGGGUUUCGGCUGCAUCUGCAGCUGCGAGAUUGGUGGAGCUCAGUGGGCAGCAAAGUGUUGGGACUGCGGGAUGGACGGGAGCUCCUGAUGGAGCAAAAGGGGUGGUGGAGGCAGGGGACAGGGCUGGGGCACUAUGUCACCUCCCGCUGUGGGCUCUGGAGGACUUCUUUGGGGACUGAGUGGAUGGCUCAGCAAGGUGCCAUUUCUAACACUGAGCAGGGUGGGGAUCGCUGUAUGGGCUUUGCUGGCCAUGGCUUUGGAGCACGCCUCCUGCAUCUGCAGGGACAGAGGGGGCAGAUGGGGAGGAAGAAGAGGAGGUGGAGGAGGAGGAAGAUGAUGAGGAGGAGGUGAGACUGCCCGGCCUUUCUCCCCGACCACCCGGAUCUGCUUUCAAAGCGAGCCCCAGUGAAGCUGUGGGGUUGAGGCGAAGCAAACAGACGCCGUAAUUGCGCUGCACACUGUCUCAUCUCCGCGGCGAGUUGCAAAAUGUGCCGCCUACCUCCCUCGUCAGCCAGCUUUAAUUGGCUUUAAUGAAGAGCUUAUACGCUCACACAUACGGAAGCACUGAUGUGCAGCUCGGUCAGCCCGGCACCUCUCCUUCCAAAUGGUGGCCAGAGGACGGCCUUGAGAGAGCCGAUGCCACUCACAGCUGUUGCCCGAUGCCACCCAUAGGAUCUCCUACGAGAAGCAUCUCUACACACAGAUAAAAACAGGCAAAGAUGACUCAAAGCCACUUUACUGGCUGCAGAAAAAAAGGGGCAGGGUGCUUGGUGAUCUACAGUUCACUGUGCUGCUGCAAGGAUUGGCCCUUCGUGAUCUCCAGUAAAUACUAUCAGUGCAGCACAGCAGGGUAAUAAAAGGUGAGCACGACGGGCAGCUGCAGCCUGACUGGCACCAUGUGGGACUGCCACAGACUUAAUGUGCACAGAGCACACCAACGUCAGUCAGGGCUGAGGUCUCCGCCGUUUAUUACCGUUGCUGCAAAAUAAAGACUGCCCAAAUAUUUACGCUAUCGGGAUGGGGUUUGCGAAUGUCCCGUCUUGUUAAAAUCGUGAGCUGUAGCCCAAAGCAUCUCCUGGGCUCACUGGGUAACCAAAUGUCCAGGGCACUCCAUGUAAAUGGGGUGUAUUUCAGGGCAAGCCACCAAUUUUCCCUCGUCCUCAACCAUUUUGGCUCUCAUUGAAGGAGAAGCAUUGGGUCACAGCCCAUCCCAUAGGCUGUGUGCUAACCUAUCAGCACAGGUUAAUGUCUCAAAGCACUCAGGUCCCACAUGGAAUAAGACCCAUAGAUACGAGCAUUGUAUGGUGGGUCACGCCACCAAUAGCUACCAGUGGGACACGGACGGGGGGACAACUUCUGGGCAGAAGCAAACACACACACACACACCUGUAACCACUGUAUUGACCCAGCGUGCCCGUGUGGGUUCAAUGCUCAUGCCCUUGUAUGGCUGCAGCACUGGGAGCCCGGUGAAGGACCGGCUUCCUGGAGAUGAGUCUUUCUGCCCCCGGCCCCUCGCGAUGCUUUCAUGACUGUGCACGGCAGUUUACAGCACAUAGCGGCAACACACUGAGUCAGUGGGAUGAAACACGUUCAAGCUGCUUUGGAAAAAGGAGUCUUAGUCAGAUAAAUAUUAGUAAAUUGAGCAACUGGGGCUACGUGAUAUUGCUGAUUAAUACAUGGCUUGCGUACGGCAUGAAAGACUCUCACAGAUUGAGGAAAGAUGCUUCCGCCGCUGCCCUUGUUUAAGUUAGCCCCAAACCAGCUGAAAAGCUCCAGCACUGCUGCAUUUCAUUUGCUGUAAUCAUUAAACAAACAGCCUUGGUGGCCUCCAUCUGUCUUGUUGAGACCUUCCCAAGCGAGGUGCCCCGGGACAAAAGCAUCUGCCCCUGCCUCACCCAGCUCUGCCCUGAGACCUGAGCUGCUCUGCCUGGGUCGCGGGCUGGGGGCUGAUGGCACCGCUUGGGCCAGGAUGUUUGUGAGGGUGGAGGAUGGUAACAAACCAUAACCUCAAAUUUCCCAGAGUACUUGAGGAAUACUCACAUUCCAUUAUAUACACACACACAUAUAUAUACGUAUAAAGGAAUAUAAAAAUGUGAAAGGAAUGGAAGAAUAUAUGUGAAAAGCGUGACAAAAUGCUGUUCGUUGCUGCUGUUUCUCUGGCUCCACACUCCCAGUUUGCAUCUAUUCUGCGUGUUGCUCUUUUUAAUCCAGGAUUUCAAGGGACCUGAUGCUCACUAAUCCAUUGCCAUGGGUGCCUGUGGGUACAGCCGCCCUCUGACACAAACAGUGAAGCUCGGAAGGCAGCAGUUUAUGAGGAGAGAGCGUAUGUUUCCCCAUUACUAAUCGACUUCAGCUGGCAGGAUUACAACCUCAAGCCUGUAAGCAGGCUUUUCUUCUCCUACAGAUGUCAGGUUUAAAGGAAAGGAAAUCAUUAUGAUAAAAAAAAAGAAGUAGUCAUAUGGCCUCAAUUCUCCACUUCCUGCUGCGGAGGGGUAAUGCUGGCUGGAUCUGUGGUCCUUGCCCAGAGCGGACCCAUCACAGGGGAUGCUCACAUCUCUAGGAUCACAGCAGCUAAAUAGCAACGGGAAAAAUAACAUUACAGCAGUGGAAACACUGAUAGCACUCAGGGCGUGAGUGAGGGGUGAUGUGUCUGGUGGGAGCCCCGCAUCCCCGGGGGGAGAU